ACGGGAGGCAGCAGUGGGGAAUAUUGCACAAUGGGGGAAACCCUGAUGCAGCGACGCCGCGUGAGUGAAGAAGUAUUUCGGUAUGUAAAGCUCUAUCAGCAGGGAAGAAAAUGACGGUACCUGACUAAGAAGCCCCGGCUAACUACGUGCCAGCAGCCGCGGUAAUACGUAGGGGGCAAGCGUUAUCCGGAUUUACUGGGUGUAAAGGGAGCGUAGGCGGCACGGCAAGCCAGAAGUGAAAACCCAGGGCUUAACUCUGGGAUUGCUUUUGGAACUGUCGAGCUAGAUUGCAGGAGAGGUAAGUGGAAUUCCUAGUGUAGCGGUGAAAUGCGUAGAUAUUAGGAGGAACACCAGUGGCGAAGGCGGCUUACUGGACUGUAAAUGACGCUGAGGCUCGAAAGCGUGGGGAGCAAACAGGAUUAGAUACCCUGGUA
rnacentral:rRNA from 2 species